CGGACGACGUUUGAAGGUGAUACUAGUGUUGUAUCUUUAUAGUUACAAAAAUAUUAUGUUUUCAUACGUGGGUUCCAAUUAGUACUCAUAUAUGUGUAUCCUUUGUUACUACUUUUAUAGCACUUAAACAAAUUUUUAUAAUUUUUAUGCAUAUUUUUUUAUCGUUGAUAAAAGAAAUACAUGAAUAUACAUGAACACAUUUAUCGUUAUAAGUUCCUUAUAUUUUACUUUUUAAGUUCUUAGCUCUGUCCGACCCAUUACAGGAGAUACUUUACUAAAAAGUACUCUGAAUUAAUAUAAAAAGGAUUGAUUUGUAUAUUGUAUAGUUCUGUCGGAGCACGUGGCUGGGUCAAGUGGGGUCAAGGGCGAACGAAUAAACGGACCCACACCGCACUACAACGACACACACACACACACACACACACACAAACGCCGCCGCAGUCACUAGUAAAUUGGCAAAAUAAUAUGCACGAUACACAUAUUAGGAUCAUUUUAUAUUACAAAAGUUAGAAAGUUCAAUAAAAUGUAGUAUUUCAUAUUAAAAUUUUACUGAUAAUUUGGAACUAAUUUUAUAAUGAGAAGUAAUAUUUACUAUAUCAAUUUUAUACACUAAUUUGUUCACUAUACUCUAAGUGAUUACUCAGUAAGCGUCAUCUGACGUUCUGCUAGGAGCGUAGCUAUCUCUUGUCAUUACACGAGAGGAACGGAGUCGGGUGAAUGUACAUACAUAUAUAUGUAUGUUAAUUGGGAUCACGAUCCUGCGCCACGGCCCGUCCUCGUCGUCCUAGGCCUCGCGGACACGAUGCUCGUCCAUCAUCAUAUUAUGUAACGGUCUCGGUGACUGUCGGCACUCCAUUGUGGUGCCCAGGCGCCGCUGUCGGCGUCUUUUUUAAUUCCCGCCGGUUCUCGUGAUAAUUAUAAUCGCCUCCAUGUUUCGACAUCCGUUACUGCAAACUCGGAUCGCGUUAAUCGAUUCUAAUUGACUGCCGGAGCUCUGUAGUCACUGCUGUUUAUUAUAAUGAACUCUUCAAUCGAAUCAAACUAAUUCGCAAAUACAAAAACUGUACCUGUUGCAAGUAUUUUUAUUUUCGAAGUCGAUAUGAAGACGUAUAGAAGCAUCUAUCGUUAAUAACCGCUGGAUGAUCUCGACUUUUACUUCAAUGGAGAGUGCCCCGGGAUCAGUGACAAUAGCGGUUGCUCUACGAGUAUAUUGUAUGUAAAUGUGUCGACACCUCGCGCCAUUAGCGCUCAGCUCCUUAUACGUCACUCGUCGGUACGAUACCAUCAGUGGAGAUGGUGACUCUUCCCAUAUUAAUGGUAUCACCACCGCCAUCCGCCACCGAAACAAUUAAAUAACCUACACAAAAACAUUCCACAGCUUCGCGACUAUCAAAAACAACAUCACUUAACGUAUGAAAACCGUAGUGGCAGCAGCGCACGCGCACUCUCCGUGCCAAUUACAGCAGAGGCCAUCAGAUAUCGCUAACAAGACGAUGCGUAUCAGACGCCGCACCCGCGCACCACCGCCACCACCGCGCUCCAUCGCUACCAUCGCUACCAUCUCCACCACCGCAUCGGUCGAACGGAGCUCGCAUUCAAAUUCCGAUAACAAAUACUAUACACCCCCGCGACAUUAUUCUGUGAAUGCUCGAGACAUUAGAGACCCUAAGCCCUAACAGUUAAGUAUAUUAUUGCUUAGCGAGCGAGGUGGUCACUUUGCAUGAUGAACGCGGUGGCGUGAAUUACGCGACGCAGAUCGUUAUUGUUCAGCAAACAGAGGAACACGACUCCACUCAGAGAAAUGAGAGACUUAUUACACGGCGACAAUCGAAGAUGAAACCGCAUCGAUAAAGUUGUCGAGGAUAGGACCAUUGUCGAGAAGGUGGAAUAUUUCACGCAGAUGUUGCGAUAGAAGGCGAUUGUGUUCUUCGAGUGACUGCGAGCAGGAAGGACGAUAGAAAGCUAUGAAUCAAGACGACGACAAUGACUAGUCCAGGUUGGACUAACGAUGACUCUCUGCGGGCGACACACUACCACGAAACCACGUGUCCACUCACCUCUACUGAACUGUGAUAUGUAAAUAUAUACAUAAUAACAAUUGUAAAGAUGAUGAUCGUUCCCCACCCGGGCGCGUCCGGGUACUGGCGGCCCAGCGGCGCCUUUGAAUAAUUCGCAGAUGAUUCCUCUAGAUUUAUGGCCCCUAACCAUAUAGUGGCGGACGAGCAAAGCGGGCUGCCGGCUAGCGACAAUUAAAUAAUUUGCGUACGAAGCCGACGCUUCGCUUUUUUAAUAGACUGAUUUGUGGGUUUUAGACCCCAGUCUAUUAAUCGUAAUCUUCUAUUUGGUAAAACAAUUAAUUUAAAUAAACUUCGACGAGGCAACCUA